UGUUAGCCUAUUGAAAAUCCAGAAGGCAGUUCAGUCAUAUAAAAGAUUAAUAGAACUUAAAAUAAGUCACUGUGAACUACUUAGAAGACAAAUUGAAAAAAUGGAAAAUAAAGUCACUGGACUACAAAAAGAGCUAUCAGAAACAAAAGAAGUGAAAUCACAGUUAGAACAUGAAAAAGUAGAACAGGAACAAGAACUCUGCAAUGUGAGAUUUGUCUUAAGACAAGAGAAAGAGAAGAGAGAAAAUGCAGAUUGGCUCUGUGAAAAAAAUAAAGACCAGUUAAGCAGAAAAGAAGAGCAAUAUAAUAGAGAAGUUAAAGUAAACCAACAACUUAAAAACUCCCUUAGGAUACUCCAUAUGGAAUUGAAGACCAUAGGAAAUAAUUUGGACCAGAUCCUGCUGAAUUUAAAUCUGGAUUCUUUCGAGCUAGGUUCCAAAAAUAAGUCAAAAUAAAAAUAAGUCCUCAAGAUCUACUUUUGGAAACAUCACAAGAAUAUCCAGCUCCUUUAAAGGAAAAUAUGAUCUGAAAGAUAAGAUUUUUAUUUAUUGGAUUGUUUAUACAAAAUUUUGUUGUCCAUUAUAUACUGUGAAAACUUUGAAGGAAAAAUAUUUUAUAUCCAUAUAUGUAUAAUGAAAAUUCCUAUAAUAUCUUAAA